AUACGUAGGGGGCAAGCGUUAUCCGGAUUUACUGGGUGUAAAGGGAGCGUAGACGGCAAAGCAAGUCUGAAGUGAAAGCCCCGGGCUCAACCCGGGAAUUGCUUUGGAAACUGUUUAGCUGGAGUGCAGGAGAGGUAAGCGGAAUUCCUAGUGUAGCGGUGAAAUGCGUAGAUAUUAGGAGGAACACCGGCGGCGAAGGCGGCUUACUGGACUGUAACUGACGUCGAGGCUCGAAAGCGGGGGGAGAAAACAGGAUUUGAUACCCUGGGUGUCCACGCCGUAAACGAUGAUUACUAGGUGUUGGUUGUCAUAGACAAUCGGUGCCGCAGCAAACACAAUAAGUAAUCCACCUGGGGAGUACGUUCGCAAGAAUGAAACUCAAAGGAACUGAGGGGG
rnacentral:rRNA from 1 species